GGGGUUGUAGCUCAGCUGGGAGAGCGCUUGAAUGGCAUUCAAGAGGUCGGGGGUUCGACUCCCCCCAGCUCCACCA
rnacentral:tRNA from 1 species